UGUAUCUUGGUCAAGUAAGGGUGAGAUAUAUCCUAAGGGGUACUAGGCUAAGAUUCAAAGGGAUAAAAGAGAAUUGAAAGAGACUGCGGGAGUUGAACUAAAUAAAGUCAUAUUCACUUUCAAACAUUAACAACAACUAAUUUCUCUUCUUUUUGUCUUUUCUUUUUCUUUCUUUUUUCUUUUUUUUUUCUUUUCUGCCAACCUUUGAAACAUCACAACUAUAUUAAUUCAACCCCACACAACUUCAAAUAAGACACUUUCAACCCUUUGAAUAGG
rnacentral:lncRNA from 1 species